CACUCAGGUGGCCUAAUGGUUAGAGCAUCCAUCUCGAAUGCAGGAGGUUGUGGGUUCAAUCCCCGGUCGAGUCA